rnacentral:lncRNA from 1 species
UCCCCUUGUUCGCUCUCCGUUCUUCCUCGCUUGUGCUCCCUGCCAUCUUAGCAAACGCCGCCUUCUUCGCCUCCACUUUACCUUGGACUACAUUGUUCCACCACCAGUCACCCUGAUGUCUGCCUGAAUAGCCUUUGGCUACCCUGAGCACAUCUCGUGCUACCUCCCUAACCAAGUUCGUCGUCUCUGAUCACAUAUC